ensembl:lncRNA
UAUAUACAGGGAGUACUGAGUCAAUGUGCAGAGGUACCAGGUAGUAGCAUGGCUAUAUACAGGGAGUACUGAGUCAAUGUGCAGAGGUACCAGGUAGUAGCAUGGCUAUAUACAGGGAGUACUGAGUCAAUGUUCAGAGGUACCAGGUAGUUGAGAUAGUUGAGGUAAUACAGUAUGUACAUGAGUGUAUGAGUAAAAGUGUCUAUAUAUACAUUUCAUGUAUGUGAAAAGUAUGUGGACACCUGCUCAUCAAACGUCUUAUUCCAAAAUCAUGGGCAUUAAUAUGGAGAUGGUCCCCCCCUUUGCUGCUAUAACAGCCUCCACU